UGCCAAGGCUGCAAAGGCUGCCA
rnacentral:piRNA from 1 species